GAUGAACGCUGGCGGCGUGCCUAAUACAUGCAAGUCGAGCGAACGGACGAGAAGCUUGCUUCUCUGAUGUUAGCGGCGGACGGGUGAGUAACACGUGGAUAACCUACCUAUAAGACUGGGAUAACUUCCGGAAACCGGAGCUAAUACCGGAUAAUAUUUUUAACCGCAUGGUUCAAAAGUGAAAGACGGUCUUGCUUUCACUUAUAGAUAGAUCCGCUCUGCAUUAGCUAGUUGGUAAGUUAACGGCUUACCAAGGAAACGAUGCAUAGCCGACCUGAGAGGGUGCUCGGCCACACUGGACGUGAGACGCGGCCAAGACUCAGAGGGGAGGCAGGAGGAGGGACUCUGCCGAAAGGGGCGAAAGCGUGACGGAGAAACGCCGCGUGAGUGAUGAAGGUCUGCGGAUCGUAAAACUCUGUUAUUAGGGAAGAACAUAUGUGUAAGUAACGGUGCACAUCUUGACGGUACCUAAUCAGAAAGCCCCGGCUAACUACGG
rnacentral:rRNA from 1 species